UAAGGUGACCAGGAGUCCUGGUUUGCCUGGGACUGAGGAGAUUCCCAGGACAUGGGAAAACCAGGAAAAGUCCAGACAAGCUGAGAGGAGUUG
rnacentral:miRNA from 1 species